rnacentral:rRNA from 1 species
CAGUAGCCGCGGGAAUACGAGGGGGGCAAGCGUUGUUCGGAUUUAUUGGGCGUAAAGGGUGCGUAGGCGGUUUGGCAAGUCUUGUGUGAGAUCUAUGGGCUCAACCCAUAGCCUGUACGAGAAACUACCGGGCUUGAGUGAUGGAGAGGUGAGUGGAAUUUCCGGUGUAGCGGUGAAAUGCGUAGAUAUCGGAAGGAACACCUGUGGCGAAAGCGGCUCACUGGACAUUAACUGACGCUGAUGCACGAAAGCUAGGGGAGCAAACAGGAUUAGAUACCCCCGUAGUCCCUGUCUCUUAUAC